CCUGAGUACGACGGAGCACGUGAAAUUCCGUCGGAAUCUGGGAGGACCAUCUCCUAAGGCUAAAUACUCUCUAGUGACCGAUAGUGAACCAGUACCGUGAGGGAAAGGUGAAAAGUACCCCGGAAGGGGAGUGAAAGAGAACUUGAAACCGUGUGCUUACAAGUAGUCAGAGCCCGUUAAUGGGUGAUGGCGUGCCUUUUGUAGAAUGAACCGGCGAGUUACGAUCUGAUGCAAGGUUAAGCAGAAAAUGUGGAGCCGUAGCGAAAGCGAGUCUGAAUAGGGCGAAUGAGUAUUUGGUCGUAGACCCGAAACCAGGUGAUCUACCCUUGGUCAGGUUGAAGUUCAGGUAACACUGAAUGGAGGACCGAACCGACUUACGUUGAAAAGUGAGCGGAUGAACUGAGGGUAGCGGAGAAAUUCCAAUCGAACUUGGAGAUAGCUGGUUCUCUCCGAAAUAGCUUUAGGGCUAGCCUCAAGUGAUGAUUAUUGGAGGUAGAGCACUGUUUGGACGAGGGGCCCCUCUCGGGUUACCGAAUUCAGACAAACUCCGAAUGCCAAAUAAUUUAACUUGGGAGUCAGAAUGUGGGUGAUAAGGUCCAUAUUCGAAAGGGAAACAGCCCAGACCACCAGCUAAGGUCCCAAAAUAUAUGUUAAGUGGAAAAGGAUGUGGCGUUGCCCAGACAACUAGGAUGUUGGCUUAGAAGCAGCCAUCAUUUAAAGAGUGCGUAAUAGCUCACUAGUCGAGUGACACUGCGCCGAAAAUGU
rnacentral:rRNA from 1 species